rnacentral:rRNA from 1 species
CAGCAGUAGCCGCGGUAAUACGAAGGGUGCAAGCGUUAAUCGGAAUUACUGGGCGUAAAGCGUGCGUAGGCGGUGAGUUAAGUCUGCUGUGAAAUCCCCGGGCUCAACCUGGGAAUGGCAGUGGAUACUGGCUCGCUAGAGUGUGUCAGAGGAUGGUGGAAUUCCCGGUGUAGCGGUGAAAUGCGUAGAGAUCGGGAGGAACAUCAGUGGCGAAGGCGGCCAUCUGGGACAACACUGACGCUGAGGCACGAAAGCGUGGGGAGCAAACAGGAUUAGAUACCCCGGUAGUCCCUGUCUCUUAUAA